ACUCAAAUGAAUUGACGGGGGCCCGCACAAGCAGCGGAGCGUGUGGUUUAAUUCGAUGCAACGCGAAGAACCUUACCUGGGCUUGACAUAUACGUGGUAGGGAUCCGAAAGGUGACCGACCCGCAAGGGAGCGUAUACAGGUGCUGCAUGGCUGUCGUCAGCUCGUGCCGUGAGGUGUUGGGUUAAGUCCCGCAACGAGCGCAACCCUCGUCGCUAGUUACUAUGUCUAGCGAGACUGCCGGGUCUAACUCGGAGGAAGGCGGGGAUGACGUCAAGUCAGCAUGGCCCUUACGUCCAGGGCUACACACACGCUACAAUGGCCGGUACAAUGCGCAGCAAUGGGGCGACCCGGAGCAAAUCGCACCAAAGCCGGUCUCAGUUGGGAUUGUAGGCUGAAACUCGCCUGCAUGAACGCGGAGUUGCUAGUAACCGCAGGUCAGCACACUGCGGUGAAUACGUUCCCGGGCCUUGUACACACCGCCCGU
rnacentral:rRNA from 1 species